rnacentral:snRNA from 1 species
GGAUGUGAGGGCGAUCUGGCUGUGACAUCUGUCACCCCAUUGAUCGCCAGGGUUGAUUCUGCUGAUCUGGCUAGCUAGGCGGGUGUCCCCUUCCUCCCUCACCACUCCAUGUGUGUCCCUCCCGAAGCUGCGUGCUUGGUGGAAGAGGACGACCAUCCCUGAUAGAGGAGGACCAUUCUAAGGUCAAGGGUAUACAAGUAGCUGUACUCCCCUACUAGAACCUCCAAACAAGCUCUCAAGAGACAGCCUACAGAAUGGGAGAAAAUUUUUGCCAGUUAUUCAUCUGACAAGGGAU